CGAAGGGUGGAGGGUGAGAGGUCGCAUCUCUCUAUCCCUCCAGAGAAAGGGGGUCGGAAGGUGCUGCUCCGAGUUGCGGCGGACGGGUGAGUAACACGUGGGUAACCUGCCUGUAAGACUGGGAUAACUCCGGGAAACCGGGGCUAAUACCGGAUGGUUGUCUGAACCGCAUGGUUCAGACAUAAAAGGUGGCUUCGGCUACCACUUACAGAUGGACCCGCGGCGCAUUAGCUAGUUGGUGAGGUAACGGCUCACCAAGGCGACGAUGCGUAGCCGACCUGAGAGGGUGAUCGGCCACACUGGGACUGAGACACGGCCCAGACUCCUACGGGAGGCAGCAGUAGGGAAUCUUCCGCAAUGGACGAAAGUCUGACGGAGCAACGCCGCGUGAGUGAUGAAGGUUUUCGGAUCGUAAAGCUCUGUUGUUAGGGAAGAACAAGUGCCGUUCAAAUAGGGCGGCACCUUGACGGUACCUAACCAGAAAGCCACGGCUAACUACGUGCCAGCAGCCGCGGUAAUACGUAGGUGGCAAGCGUUGUCCGGAAUUAUUGGGCGUAAAGGGCUCGCAGGCGGUUUCUUAAGUCUGAUGUGAAAGCCCCCGGCUCAACCGGGGAGGGUCAUUGGAAACUGGGGAACUUGAGUGCAGAAGAGGAGAGUGGAAUUCCACGUGUAGCGGUGAAAUGCGUAGAGAUGUGGAGGAACACCAGUGGCGAAGGCGACUCUCUGGUCUGUAACUGACGCUGAGGAGCGAAAGCGUGGGGAGCGAACAGGAUUAGAUACCCUGGUAGUCCACGCCGUAAACGAUGAGUGCUAAGUGUUAGGGGGUUUCCGCCCCUUAGUGCUGCAGCUAACGCAUUAAGCACUCCGCCUGGGGAGUACGGUCGCAAGACUGAAACUCAAAGGAAUUGACGGGGGGCCCGCACAAGCGGUGGGAGCAUGUGGUUUUAAUUCGAAGCAACGCGAAGAACCCUUACCAGGGUCUUUGACAUCCCUCUGGACAAUCCCUAGAGAUAGGGACGUCCCCUUUCGGGGCAGAGUGACAGGUGGUGCAAUGGGAUUGUCGUCAGCUCGUGUCGUGGAGAUGUUGGGUUUAAGUCCCCGCAACGGAGCCGCAACCCUUGAAUCUUUAGUUGGCC
rnacentral:rRNA from 2 species